CAAGAAUCUGUUGAGAUCUCCAUCCAUCAAACUGCGCAGGAGUAAGGCAGGAAACCGACGAGAGGACCUCAGCUCCAAGGUGACCUUGGAGAAGGUGCUGGGAAUUACAGUGUCUGGAGGCAGAGGACUUGCCUGUGACCCCCGAUCAGGCUUAGUUGCUUACCCAGCAGGGUGUGUGGUUGUGUUGUUCAAUCCCCGGAAACACAAACAGCACCACAUCCUCAACAGUUCCAGGAAAACCAUCACUGCCCUUGCCUUCUCCCCUGAUGGCAAGUACUUGGUCACUGGAGAGAGUGGGCACAUGCCUGCCGUGCGGGUUUGGGACGUGGCAGAGCACAGCCAGGUGGCCGAGCUGCAGGAGCACAAGUAUGGUGUGGCUUGUGUGGCCUUCUCUCCUAGCGCCAAGUACAUUGUCUCUGUGGGCUACCAGCAUGACAUGAUCGUCAACGUGUGGGCCUGGAAGAAAAACAUUGUGGUGGCCUCCAACAAGGUGUCCAGUCGGGUGACAGCAGUGUCCUUCUCUGAGGAUUGCAGCUACUUUGUCACUGCAGGCAACCGGCACAUCAAAUUCUGGUAUCUUGAUGACAGCAAGACCUCAAAGGUGAGGUGCUGAAGCUGGGAGUAGCCACCAAGGCCCUUGGCAGGGCCUGCCCAGCCCACCCCAGGAGACUCUGCCCGACUUGGGCCUCUCUCUGCAUUCCCAGCAGUCAUGCAGAAGUUUUGGAUGAGCCAGAUGCUGUCUGGGCUGAGGAGUAGGCCCAAAGAGCAAGGGGGUGCUGGAGGCGUCCCCUGUACUCUCCUAGGGCCUAGUUUCCAGGGGCAGGCUCUGGGGUGGAUGGGGGUAUAACAGUGGUGUGCCUCCACAGGUGAAUGCCACUGUGCCCUUGCUGGGCCGCUCAGGGCUGCUGGGAGAGCUACGGAACAACCUGUUCACUGAUGUGGCCUGUGGCAGAGGAAAGAAGGCGGACAGUACCUUCUGCAUCACGUCCUCAGGGCUGCUGUGCGAGUUCAGUGAUCGAAGGCUUUUGGACAAGUGGGUGGAGCUGAGGACCACAGUGGCCCACUGCAUCUCUGUGAGCCAAGACUACAUCUUCUGUGGCUGUGCUGAUGGCACCGUGCGCCUUUUCAACCCCUCUAACCUGCACUUCCUUAGCACCUUGCCCCGACCCCAUGCUCUGGGGACAGACAUUGCUAGCGUCACCGAGGCCAGUCGCCUCUUCUCUGGAGUGGCCAAUGCCAGGUAUCCAGACACCAUUGCCUUGACCUUUGAUCCUACUAAUCAGUGGCUGUCUUGUGUGUACAACGAUCAUAGCAUUUAUGUUUGGGAUGUGAGGGACCCCAAGAAAGUGGGCAAGGUGUACUCGGCUCUGUAUCAUUCUUCCUGCGUCUGGAGUGUGGAGGUCUACCCCGAGGUGAAGGACAGUAACCAGGCCUGCCUGCCCCCCAGUUCCUUUAUUACCUGCUCCUCAGACAACACCAUCCGCCUGUGGAACACAGAGAGCUCCGGGGUGCAUGGCUCCACCCUCCACCGAAACAUCCUCAGCAGUGUGAGCCCUGAGGCUGUGGGGCCCCGCUUCACCCUCAGUGCCCCCAUCCCCACAGCUAUUGCACCUUGUUACUGGGAACUGGGUCCCUAGGCCUUGGCCUUCCAGCCUUCAUUUGGCUGUGCUCUGUGGUCCAAGGGUUUGUUUUGCUCAGCUUUCUUGCCCCUUGCAGCUGUACUGGUCAGGCCUGCCUCAUCCAGCUUUUCUAACCUGUUCCACUAGGACCUCAUUAAAAUCAUCUAUGUGGAUGGGAACACCCAGGCCCUGCUGGACACAGAGCUGCCUGGAGGAGACAAAGCUGAUGCAUCCCUGUUGGAUCCCCGCGUGGGCAUCCGCUCGGUGUGUGUCAGCCCCAAUGGACAGCAUCUAGCAUCAGGGGACCGUAUGGGCACACUUAGGGUGCACGAACUUCAGUCCCUGAGUGAGAUGCUGAAGGUGGAGGCCCAUGACUCUGAGAUUCUGUGCCUGGAGUAUUCUAAGCCAGACACAGGUCUGAAACUGCUAGCGUCAGCGAGCCGGGACCGGCUGAUCCACGUGCUGGAUGCCGGGAGGGAGUACAGCCUACAGCAGACGCUGGACGAACACUCAUCCUCCAUCACUGCUGUCAAGUUUGCAGCCAGUGAUGGGCAAGUCCGCAUGAUCAGCUGUGGAGCAGACAAGAGCAUCUACUUCCGCACUGCGCAGAAGUCUGGAGAUGGAGUGCAGUUCACACGGACACACCACGUGGUGCGGAAGACGACCCUCUAUGACAUGGAUGUGGAGCCCAGCUGGAAGUACACGGCCAUCGGCUGCCAGGACCGAAAUAUUCGGAUAUUUAACAUCAGCAGUGGAAAGCAGAAGAAGCUGUUUAAAGGGUCACAGGGUGAGGACGGCACACUCAUUAAGGUGCAGACAGACCCCUCAGGGAUCUACAUUGCCACCAGCUGUUCUGACAAGAAUCUCUCCAUUUUUGACUUCUCCUCAGGCGAGUGCGUGGCCACCAUGUUUGGCCACUCAGAGAUUGUCACUGGCAUGAAAUUUAGUAAUGAUUGCAAACAUCUCAUCUCUGUGUCUGGGGACAGCUGCAUAUUUGUGUGGCGCCUGAGCUCUGAGAUGACCAUCAGCAUGAGGCAGCGUCUGGCCGAGCUGCGCCAGCGUCAGCAGGGCGGCAAGCAGCAAGGACCAUCCUCUCCCCAAAGGGCUUCUGGACCCAACCGGCACCAGGCCCCAUCGAUGCUCUCUCCUGGACCAGCUCUGUCAUCAGACAGUGACAAGGAGGGAGAAGAUGAGGGGACUGAAGAAGAACUUCCAGCACUGCCCGUCCUUGCCAAGAGUACCAAGAAGGCACUGGGUCUGUGGCAGUUGGGUGUGGGGGCAGACAGGCCCUAGUUGGUAUAAUGGCUAGAUAUGGUUUUUCUGAGACUGUGGGGUGAGAGCAGUGUGAGCUGAGGAAACUGAGGCAUUAUUGUGGCCACAGAGGGUAUGGGCUGAUGGGGCCAGGGCUCCAGGGUUGGGGGGCGGGGCAGGAGACACUUCCUCUGACUGCCUGUUUCUGUCUAGCCUCGGUCCCCAGCCCAGCCUUGCCCCGAAGCCUGUCCCACUGGGAGAUGAGUCGGGCACAGGAGCCCGUGGGGUUCCUGGACCCAGCUCCUGCAGCCAACCCAGGACCCAGAAGAAGGGGGCGCUGGGUUCAGCCAGGUGUGGAACUGAGCGUUAGAUCCAUGCUGGAUCUGCGGCAGCUGGAAACACUGGCCCCAAGCCCGCAGGACCCUAGCCAGGACUUGCUGGCCAUCAUCCCAUCUGGUCCCAGAAAGCAUGGGCAGCAGGCCCUUGAGACUUCACUCACUAGCCAGAAUGAAAAGCCCCCUCGGCCUCAGGCUUCCCAACCUUGUUCCUAUCCCCAUAUUAUCCGAUUAUUGUCACAAGAGGAAGGGGUCUUUGCCCAAGAUCUGGAACCUGCACCCGUUGAAGAUGGUAUUGUCUACCCGGAACAGAGUGACAGCCCCACCAUGGACACCAGUGAGUUCCAGGUGCAGGCUCCAGCCCGGGGAACUCUGGGAAGAGUGUACCCAGGCAGCAGGAGCUCAGAAAAGCACAGCCCUGACAGUGCCUGCUCUGUGGAUUACAGCAGCAGCUGCCUUUCCAGCCCGGAGCAUCCCACUGAAGACUCUGAGAGCACGGAGCCCCUCAGUGUGGAUGGCAUCUCCUCAGACCUUGAAGAGCCAGCUGAGGGCGAUGAAGAAGAGGAAGAGGAGGGAGGCAUGGGCCCCUAUGGGCUACAGGAGGGCAGCCCCCAGACUCCAGACCAGGAGCAGUUUCUAAAACAGCACUUUGAGACUCUGGCCAAUGGAGCUGCUCCAGGGGCCCCAGUGAAGGUGCCAGAGAGGUCAGAGUCUCGGAGUAUCUCUUCACGAUUCCUGUUGCAAGUACAGACCCGCCCACUCAGGGAACCAUCCCCGUCCUCCUCAAGCCUGGCACUGAUGUCGAGACCAGCCCAGGUGCCACAGGCAUCUGGUGAGCAGUCGAGAGGCAAUGGUGCCAAUCCCCCUGGAGCACCCCCGGAGGUGGAACCGUCCUCUGGCAACCCCAGCCCCCAGGAGGCAGCCUCUGUGCUGUUGCCACGAUGCCGUCUCAACCCUGACAGCAGCUGGGCUCCCAAGAGAGUGGCCAUAACCAGCCCCUUAUCUGGACUCCAGAAGGCCCAGUCUGUGCACAGUCUGGUGCCACAGGAAAGAGAUGAGGCCGGUCUGCAGGCCCCUUCACCAGGCGCACUGCUCUCCCGGGAGAUCGAAGCUCAGGAUGGUCUGGGCUCCCUGCCCUCAGCUGAUGGCCGUCCAUCUCGGCCUCACUCCUAUCAGAACCCCACCACCAGUUCCAUGGCCAAGAUAUCCCGCAGUAUCUCUGUUGGGGAGAACCUGGGCCUGGUGGCUGAACCUCAGGCUCAUGCCCCCAUCCGAGUCUCACCACUCAGCAAGCUGGCCCUGCCUAGCCGGGCUCACCUGGUCCUGGACAUCCCCAAACCACUGCCUGACCGUCCUACCCUGGCUGCAUUCUCUCCUGUCACCAAAGGCCGGGCGCCUGGCGAGGCAGAAAAGCCUGGCUUCCCAGUGGGCCUAGGAAAAGCUCACAGUACCACUGAGAGAUGGGCCUGUUUGGGGGAGGGCACCACUCCCAAGCCUAGGACAGAGUGCCAGGCUCAUCCUGGGCCCAGCAGCCCCUGUGCCCAGCAACUGCCAGUCAGCAGCCUCCUCCAAGGCCCUGAAGACUUGCAGCCCCCACCCCCUGAGAAGACUCCCAACCCCAUGGAAUGCACCAAGCCAGGGGCAGCCCUGAGCCAGGACUCAGAGCCAGCGGUGAGCCUGGAGCAGUGUGAGCAGCUGGUGGCAGAGCUCCGCGGCAGCGUGCGCCAGGCCGUGCGGCUCUACCACUUGGUGGCUGGCUGCAAGAUGCCCUCAGCAGAGCAAAGUCGGAUCACCCAGCUCCUCAGAGACACCUUCUCUUCAGUGCGACAGGAGCUGGAAGCUGUGGCUGGGGCAGUGCUGUCCAGCCCAGGCAGCAGCCCUGGGGCUGUGGGAGCCGAGCAGACACAGGCCCUGCUGGAGCAAUACUCAGAACUGUUGCUUCGAGCCGUGGAACGGCGCAUGGAACGCAAACUCUGAGUUCUGGAAGCCUGUCCCAAGUGAAUGAAUGCCCCAGCGAUUCCAAACUGCAGCCCCUCUGCCACUCACCAAAACCUGCGGGGCUGCUUGGAGUGGAAAGCAGGGAGCAGUGUUCAGAGGCAAAGCACCCUUCCCAGCCGCUCCUCAUGGGGGGCCUGUAUUUAUUAAUUUAUUUCCCUGACUGUUGCCUCACUUCCUUGGAAUUCCUGCCUCCACAGCCCCUCCAGUGGCAGGGACAGGUCUUGGGUCUUUGUCACCUUGGUGCUGUGAGAGGUAGGAGGGCAGCCUGCCCCAUCUAGGAAUCUGGGAAGGGCUGGCCCUCUCUUAGAAGCCAUUUGAAAUUACUGCAGGGAUCAGCUCCCUGUGGUGGAGCAUACACAGGGUACUCUGGGGUCGAGGUGAGAGGUGAUGUGGUAUUCAGUGCCUGUCAGCCAACUGUGGGCCUUCACCUCUACCUCCACUUCCCCUCUCACACCAGCUGCACUCCCCUGGCUGCCAGAGCAGGGUGGUUUUCCCCAGUACCUGGCAGCUCAGAAAGGCAGAGCCGUCUGGCCCUCCAGGGUGUCCCCAGCCAUCAGGAGACUUGAGUUGGUAUUUGGACCUGAGCCCGCACAUUCCACUCCCAUUCUCCCUCCAAGAGGGGCCCAGCAUUGUAUUUCCCUGUGACCCCUUACUCUCCAGGCCAGAACUUGAGCCAGCUGUGGGAUGUUGCUGCAGGACAGUAAGCCCUCACCUGGGCAGA
rnacentral:sRNA from 1 species